AGUUCAAAUCGGGCGGCGGCGUCAGCCGGCCGGCCGGCGCGCCCGGCGCGCCACCGGGUUUGGCGUUCGCUGGGACGGCCCGCGGUCGACCCAGUCCAGCUGUAGAAGAUGAAGAGCUGAGCAAAAUCAGGCGGCUGGCACGAACUUACACCUGACAAACACCGUCUACCGGUUCUACACGGGUCCAGAUGGGCUGCAUGCCUGCAUUAUAGCUACGUUCUGACUUCUGAAAAUUCUGAUCGCCACGGAAGAUUAAGAAAUCUAUCUGUCAGAACAACAGAUAGUAUCACCGAUCGGAAUGAUAUUGUAUCACGUCGUUCAUUGUGCCUAUGUGGAAUAGCGUACGUAUGGCCCAGUGUAUAACUACAUUGUAAUUCUGUUCUUGAUUCUGAUAGCAGUCGCCUCAUCGAUGUGGUGUUGACCAAACAACAAUGUCCAUGUGUAGUUAAUGUCUAAUGUUGGUCGGUACGUACUGAUGAAAAUGUAUAUGCUUGCAGAGUAAAACAAUAAAAAUAAUUCACGGUGCA